rnacentral:rRNA from 1 species
UACGUAGGGGGCAAGCGUUAUCCGGAUUUACUGGGUGUAAAGGGAGCGCAGACGGCGAUGCAAGUCUGAUGUGAAAGGCUGGGGCUUAACCCCGGGACUGCAUUGGAAACUGUAUGGCUGGAGUGCCGGAGAGGUAAGCGGAAUUCCUAGUGUAGCGGUGAAAUGCGUAGAUAUUAGGAGGAACACCAGUGGCGAAGGCGGCUUACUGGACGGUAACUGACGUUGAGGCUCGAAAGCGUGGGGAGCAAAC